GUUCUGGUAGUGUAGUUGGUAAUAUGCCUCCUGACAUUAUAAAGUUAGUCGUUGUCGGUUCGAACCCGGCCUGGGCCU